AUUGAACGCUGGCGGCAUGCCUUACACAUGCAAGUCGAACGGUAACAGGUCUUCGGAUGCUGACGAGUGGCGGACGGGUGAGUAAUACAUCGGAACGCGCCUAGUAGUGGGGGAUAACUACUCGAAAGAGUGGCUAAUACCGCAUGAGAUCUACGGAUGAAAGCAGGGGAUCGCAAGACCUUGUGCUACUAGAGCGGCCGAUGGCAGAUUAGGUAGUUGGUGGGAUAAAAGCUUACCAAGCCGACGAUCUGUAGCUGGUCUGAGAGGACGAUCAGCCACACUGGGACUGAGACACGGCCCAGACUCCUACGGGAGGCAGCAGUGGGGAAUUUUGGACAAUGGGCGAAAGCCUGAUCCAGCAAUGCCGCGUGCAGGAUGAAGGCCUUCGGGUUGUAAACUGCUUUUGUACGGAACGAAAAGCCCCGGGUUAAUACCCUGGGGUCAUGACGGUACCGUAAGAAUAAGCACCGGCUAACUACGUGCCAGCCGCCGCGGUAA
rnacentral:rRNA from 1 species